GGCAACCCUGACGGAGCAACGCCGCGUGGGGGAGGAAUGUCUGUGGAUUGUAAACCCCUUUUCUCAGGGAAGAAGCUCUGACGGUACCUGAGGAAUCAGCCUCGGCUAACUCCGUGCCAGCAGCCGCGGUAAUACGGAGGAGGCAAGCGUUAUCCGGAAUUAUUGGGCGUAAAGCGUCCGCAGGUGGCGAUUCAAGUCUGCUGUCAAAGCACGGGGCUUAACUCCGUUAAGGCAGUGGAAACUGAAUGGCUAGAGUGCCGUAGGGGUAGAGGGAAUUCCCGGUGUAGCGGUGAAAUGCGUAGAGAUCGGGAAGAACAUCGGUGGCGAAAGCGCUCUACUGGACGGCAACUGACACUCAGGGACGAAAGCUAGGGGAGCG
rnacentral:rRNA from 1 species